rnacentral:rRNA from 2 species
GGUCAAGCUACUAAGGGCGCACGGUGGAUGCCUUGGCAGAAUCAGGCGAUGAAGGACGUGGCAAGCUGCGAUAAGCUUCGGGGAGCCGCACACAGGCGUUAUAUCCGAAGAUCUCCGAAUGGGGAAACCCACAUGAGCAAACCUCAUGUACGGCCCGCUGAAUACAUAGGCGGGCACGAGCGAACCCAGGGAAGUGAACCAUCUCAGUACCUGGAGGAAAAGAAAGAAACCUCGAUUCCGAAAGUAGUGGCGAGCGAAAUCGGAACAGCCCAAACCCGUGAUAUUUCGGUAUUGCGGGGGUUGUAGGGUCUGCAACAGUAGAGUUACCAAUCCUCUGGUUAGUCGAAUCCGUUGGAAAGCGGAUCCAUAGAGCGUGACAGACGCGUAGGCGAAAACCAUGAGGACUCGAAGCAGAUACCUGAGUAAGGCGGGGCACGUGAAACCCUGCUUGAAUCCGCGGAGACCAUUCCGCAAGGCUAAAUACUCGAUUCUGACCGAUAGUGAACCAGUACCGUGAGGGAAAGGUGAAAAGCACCCCUGCGAGGGGAGUACAAAGUACCUGAAACCGUGUGCCUACAAGCAGUGGGAGGACUAUGCCCGCAAGGGAAUGUCUGACCGCGUGCCUAUUGCAUAAUGAGCCGGCUAGUUAUUCUUGUCAGCAAGGUUAAGCGUAAGCGAGCCGAAGCGAAAGCGAGUCUGAAUAGGGCGUUAAGUUGGCAGGAAUAGACGCGAAGCGGGAUGAUCUACCCUUGGCCAGGUUGAAGAUGGGGUAACACCCAUUGGAGGACCGAACCGGUGUUUGUUGAAAAAAGCUCGGAUGAGCUGAGGGUAGGGGUGAAAGGCUAAUCAAAUUCCGUGAUAGCUCGUUCUCUCCGAAAUAGCUUUAGGGCUAGCCUCGGAUGAUUUGCAGUGGUGGUAGAGAUCUGGAUGGACUAGGGGGCUUUCCGGCUUACUGAAUCCAACCAAACUUCGAAUGCCACUGACAACCAGUCCGGGAGUCAGACUGUGGGGGCUAAGCUUCACAGUCGAGAGGGAAACAGCCCAGACCGCCUGCUAAGGUCCCCAAGUUACAGUUAAGUGGGAAAGGAAGUCGGAACGCUCAGACAGCCAGGAGGUUGGCUUAGAAGCAGCCAUCCUUUAAAGAAAGCGUAAUAGCUCACUGGUCAAGCGGUCCGGUGCCGACAAUACAACGGGGCUAAAACUGUACACCGAAGCAGCGGAUGCACACCUAUGGUGUGCGUGGUAGGAGAGCAUUCUCAACAGCGUUGAAGUCAGACCGAGAGGAUUGAUGGAGCGUUGCGAAGAGACCCUGCCGGCAUAAGUAGCGAUAAUGAAUGUGAGAACCAUUCACGCCGAAAGUCUAAGGUUUCCUGAGGAAGGUUAAUCCGCUCAGGGUCAGGCGGUCCCUAAGGCGAGGCCGAGAGGCGUAGCUGAUGGACAUCCGGUUAAUAUUCCGGACCUCCCAACUCUCGUUUGACGAUGGGGAGACGCAGAAGGAUAGGCAGGUCGUCAUAUGGCUAUGGCGGUCGAUACGCGUAAGCUGGUGCCGGGAGGCAAAUCCCCCGGUGCUUAACAGUGAGGCGUAAAGCAAGCCCGUAUGGGUGUAAGCUGCCGAGUUCACGCUGCCGAGAAAAUCCUCUAAGGAGAGUAGUUGGGAACCGUACCCCAAACCGACACAGGUAGACGAGGAGAAUAUCCAAAGGCGCUCGAGUGAAAGCUUGUUAAGGAACUCGGCAAAUUAGACCCGUAACUUCGGGAGAAGGGUCGCCCACCUCUGGUGGGCCGCAGUGAAACGCGUACGGCGACUGUUUAACAAAAACACAGGUCUCUGCAAAGUCGAAAACGACGUAUAGGGGCUGACUCCUGCCCGGUGCUGGAAGGUUAAAAGGAGAGGUUAGCCGCAAGGCGAAGCUUUGAAUUGAAGCCCCAGUGAACGGCGGCCGUAACUAUAACGGUCCUAAGGUAGCGAAAUUCCUUGUCGGGUAAGUUCCGACCUGCACGAAUGGAGUAACGAUCGUACGACUGUCUUAACGAGUUGCUCGGCGAACUUGUAGUACCGGUGAAGAUGCCGGUUACCCGCAGCUAGACGGAAAGACCCCGUGCACCUUUACUACACCUUUACUAUGAAUUAUGACUCUUACUGCGCAGGAUAGGUGGGAGGCUUUGAUACCAGGCUCUUGGGCUUGGUGGAGCCACCGGUGAGAUACCACCCUGUGAGCGUUGUGAUUCUAACCUGCUCCCGUGAUCCGGGAGAGGGACAUAGUAAGGCGGGUAGUUUGACUGGGGCGGUCGCCUCCUAAAUUGUAACGGAGGCGCGCGAAGCUACUCUCAGACUGUUUGGAAAUCAGUCGUCGAGUGCAAAGGCAUAAGAGUGGUUAACUGUGAGACCUACAAGUCGAGCAGAUGCGAAAGCAGGCCUUAGUGAUCCGGUGGUUCUGUAUGGAAGGGCCAUCGCUCAACGGAUAAAAGGUACGCCGGGGAUAACAGGCUGAUCGGAGCCAAGAGUUCAUAUCGACGCUCCGGUUUGGCACCUCGAUGUCGGCUCAUCGCAUCCUGGAGCUGUAGAAGGUUCCAAGGGUUAGGCUGUUCGCCUAUUAAAGCGGUACGUGAGCUGGGUUCAGAACGUCGCGAGACAGUUCGGUCCCUAUCUGCUGUGGGCGUAGGAGAUUUGAGGAGGGCUGUCCUUAGUACGAGAGGACCGGGAUGGACGAACCUCUUGUGUUCCAGUUGUCAUGCCAAUGGCACGGCUGGGUAGCGAAGUUCGGUUGUGAUAACCGCUGAAUGCAUAUAAGCGGGAAGCACGCUCCAAGAUGAGAUCUCCCUGAAGGGCCCAGGAAGACCACCUGGUUGAUAGGCUGGAGGUGUAAGCACAGUAAUGUGUUCAGCUUACCAGUACUAAUCGCCCGUUCGGCUUGUCCA